rnacentral:lncRNA from 1 species
AGCCUGGUGAGGUGAUGUGGCCUGCCGUGAGUGGAUGGGGGCUGAGAGUAUAUAAGAGUGAGAGGCCUGGGGUUCGAGGGAGAAAAAGAUGAAGCGAGAGAGAUGAAGACUGAAGCUUGCUGAAUAAACUGCUGUCAGAAGAACUGGUGGUCGUGUCGUUCUUGCUGAUUGAGAGCGGACGCGACAAGGGCCUUCCCACCUAAGGUUCACUGUGAACAAUCAAGAGCUUCUGAAAGAGAAAAUCUUUCUGGAGAGAAGGCCUUGAGCCCAAGAGCUGUCAAAGACAGUGACACCUGUGAAGAGAUCUUUUCUGUACCCACUGACCACAUGGAAAGAUGUGGAAACCAAGGAGCUAGCUUCCCUGAUGUGCUAUUUCUACCAAUCUACACUGGGACAUCAUUGUUAAAAGGCCCAAGAAUUGAGGCAACUGCUUGAAGAGCCCCAAC